ACAUGCAUAGUUAUAGGUUCGCUCUUGGAAAGCAAUAAGUUAAAUAAAUAAAUAAAUUUUGAUUUAACAUCUUUUAAAAAUUAAAAAAAAAUAAGAAAAAAUAUAUUUAAAAUAUUACCAAUAUUAAUACGUUUUUUGGUACUCAUUACUGUAACUAGUUAAAUUACCGAAUAUGUAUGACGUAAGCGGAAAAUCUUAUUCAAGAUUCAUGAUGCCACCAUGUAUGAGAGCUAUGUUAACGUACUUUUUGUGAAUUGUACUUUAAUGAAACUUAAUGAAUAAUGUUAACGAAGCUGAGUACAUUUUCCAGCGUAUGUAUGCAAGAAUUUUACUUUUUAGAGGACUAAGUGGACGUGCCACACCUUGCUGUAUUGUAAGUAAACUGUCAGAAGUCUGUAACAAGAGAUCACUUUUGAAAACAAAAAAGUUACAGUAAGAAUGGGUCAAACACUUUCUGAACCGGUAACUGCAAAGGAAACUUCUAGUUGUACGAACGAGUACGUGAAAGUGGGUGCCUCCUGCAUGCAAGGAUGGAGAAUCAGUAUCCUUCUUCAUUUUCAGUUAGAUUAUUCCACG